CUAUUAAAUUGGAACCUAAUCUCUGUCUUGCCCAGUUUCUCCGGCAUUACAUAAGGUCAGCUGUCUACAUUAAGUCAGACUGACUGGCUUUUUCAGUACAAUUUUUUAAAAAAUAUAUUUUAAAUAAUACAAGUGUGUAGUAUUUCAUUAUAGUAAGUCAUAAAAAACAAGAAAAUGUGGAUACUUUUUAUUCGUUAGCAUUGGAGGCUAUAUGGAAUGAACUGAGUUAAGAUUCUGAUAGGAAUGUAGCCUUAAACUAUACUUUAAUUGUGUCUUGAGACUUUAUAAUAAAAGUAGAGGUAUAACUUAAAAAAAAAAAAGUUCCAGGUAGGUGUGCCUUCCCUUUGGUUUCCCACCACCUCUUUAUUAGCAUUUAAGUACCUUUUUAAAAGGCAAGUUAUUCUUUUGUUUCUAGUAUAGAUAACCCUGAUAAGAAUGUAAACCUGGACUCUCCCAAACAAUCGAGAAAAGGCCUUACAAGGGUGUGGGGGCUUCUGCUUUCAGGCUAUUUAAUUUGAUCUUUUGCAGUUUUUACUUUCUCAGUUAAAAAAAAAAAAAAAAAUACCAUGUCAGAUGGGAGUUGUUCUUUUUGCUUUUUCCUACUCUGAGAGCCUUUGCUUGUUUUUAUGGUUGAUACUGGCCCACUCAGAUCAGGGGCUCAGUCAGAGAUAUUUCCUGUUCAUGAAGGGAUCUUUCCUGUCCUUGGGUGGGUGCCUUAUGGGGAGUUUUCCAGUGGCUCUUGGACUUGGCUCAAGGAACUUCUGUUUCCAAUAGGUAAAAGCCGGAAGAGAGAUACUCCCGAGCAAGCAAAAAUUAAGUGGGCUAGCAAAGAGGAUUAAUUCAAGCCAGAAGAUGAGCCAACUGAGAAGUUUGUCAGUCUUUCUGGGAAAUUGAGUCAGGAUAUAGAAGAAUAUGAAGUGGUUAUACAGUUGAUUUAGAUAGAUCCACUGAUAGGCUCCUGAGGUUGAAGAGGAAGAAAAAUGGGUAUGACUUGGAGUCAAAAAAAACUAUUCCUUCAUCUCAUCUGACACUGCAAUCUAAUAGAAACAUAGUAGACCUGACCUGACAUAAAAAGGACAAACUUCAGUCUAGUAAGAUAGUAUCUCUGUCCAAACUAAGUAAGUCUACAUUCACCAAGGUGAAGUAAGGUUUGCACUUAGCCAGACUCCUGUUUUGUUUUUUUUUCCUAAUUGUAAAUAGUAUUUCCCCCCUUCCCCAAUA